CUUACUGGCUUCCUUCCGGCGAGGGCGAGGCGGAGAGGUGGGCGCCCGCCUCUGCCUCCGCCUCCGUCUCGCCGCGCUCCGGCGGGUGGCCGGGCCGGGGUGCCUCCACGGCCUCGUGGAAGCCGCGCUCCGGCGCCGCCGGCAGCAACGUGUGGGCGAGGCUGUUGCUGCGAGCGCCCGCAGAGACCACUCCGCUUUUGAAGGGUAUGUUGAUCUCCCCCAUUUAUGGCAGCGGUUUCUGUUUGGUUCCGCGUUGCUGUUCAUGCGCCAGUGAUGGAGGAUGUGUUAUUGCUUAUUGAAUUUGAUUGUGAUGUCCAUUUUGCUAUUUACUUUCACGUGUAUGUUUGAUAGUAGUCAGCGCAAGUAAACCUGGCAUCUACAAAUGCAGAAGGGAAUCAAGGGAUUGGAUUUUGGGAUCUCUUCCUUUUGGGGAAUUUUUAGGUGCCACAAGCUAACAUGUCCUAGGAGCUAGAAUGUCUCAGUGAUUUUUUUUCAAUGCAUAAAAUCGAUGGUUCAUUUCUGCAAUUGGACGAUUCAUUACAUUUUUAGCUUAGAGAAAUAGUUAAUACAUGAGGUACAAGAGCGAAUUCCUUUGGUUUCCAUACCGUGACUAUGAUUCUGCUUUCUGCCAUCCGCAAUUCAGUCUAGGAUAAACCGAAUGGCUCUCAUAUUGUUCUCCCAUGUAAACAUAUUAGCUGAAAUAGGCACUAUCUGAACCCAAUGGCCAUUGUCUAUCGAUCCCAAUAUCUUUAUAUAGAUGCAGUUAUGAUUGGCUGCAUGGCUUUAAUUUCUC
rnacentral:sRNA from 1 species